UCAAGGACCACUAACCAUACAUUGUGACAACAAAGCAGCCUUAUUCUUUCAAGAAACAACAAGAAAUUUGAGGCCACUCGAUUGAUGGAUGUCAAAUAUCUAUCAGUGAAGGAACAUUUGAAGAAGGGAAAUCAAAAUUGAGCAUGUUGAUACAAGACUGAUGCUUGCAGACCCCUUGACUAAGCCACAUGCUGUGGGAAUUUUCAAAGAUCAUGUUUCGAAUAUAGGAAAGCAAGAUGGGUUUUUCUCAGCAGAAGUGUGGGAGUAAAAGUGUAGAGUACUGACGGAUUGCUUUUCAGUUCAGGGUUCUAUCACCAUAAAAAUAUUAAGGGCUUGAGUGAGUAGAAGAAUUGACGUGAACUUGAGACAAUGUCUUCUUCAGGUGUUUACAUGAAAGGAAGCUGACAAAGCUAAUGUGGUCCAGGAACAAUAACUCAAUUGCAUCAAUGUUGCUUGACAAUGGCCUUGAAACUCAACCACCGCCAUUCAAGCUAAUGGAAUAUGACCACAUAUAUCUUUUAAGGGUUCCAAAUAAUGUCGAAGGGGUAGUGGAUGAACGCCAUCUUACAACCCGUAGAGCACAGGGUCCUAGGGAAAUAAAUAGGCCAUGGUGGGCACUCAAUGGUACAAAGGAGCUGAUGAAAUUUAAUGACAAAGGGCAAGCAAUAGAGCCUCCCCAUAUUGUUGCAAGAUUUUCCAGGUUCCUAGGAAUGCUAUCCCAAGAAUCAUCAUAUUGUCCAAUUAACAUUUGUAAAUAAAUAUGGACCGUGUAAACAAAACUAAAAUGGGAUAUGCAUCUGUUUCCUUGUAUUUGAAAUUCAAAUAUCUCUGAUAGCACAAGUAUUGUAUCAUUGUAACAUCCCAUCUAAACGGUCCAUAACAAUCUAGUCAAACGGAUACCUAGGGAUCAAAGAAAAACAAAUCGAUAUCGAACUGUCAUGAGUUUUUGAACAUAAGACCUUUCACUCAUUAAUAGAGCACUCCAUAGAGUUUGUUUUCCUAGAAUUCAUACAUUUUGGUUUUGCUACUAAGGUGUUUUGUGUGAAAGAGAAAUCGGAACUUGUGGUUUGCAUAAGGUAGACCAGCAAAAUGAGUUAGUAGAGACCCUCGUAUUCAAUUUGAGAGGUCGGGAUUGCCUCCUCCUUGGGCUCCGAACAAUGGAAUCCUGAAUGAAUUUCUGUCCCAAAAAAUGGGGGAUCCCAUUUCUUAAGGGAUCUAUACAAAUAUGAUCGACAAAUUUCAUUGUUCCAACUAACCCAAACGUAUGAAUUAAUCAUGCCGGGAUAAUGAAACCGAAAACAGGACGAAAGGCCUCUGUAUUCUUCAGUUUUCCACAAGGGAGAGGGAGCAAGGUUCACAAGAAUGUACCUGGUAAACAUUACUGCUCAUGGAAAAAAUAGACAAUAGUCUUACGAUAUUUGUUGAGCUAAACCGUAAUCUCAUCAGCCACAUACCACCUUCGAAGCUUUUCUUCACAC